UACAGAGGCCCCAAGCGUUACUGAGAAUCACUGGGUUUAAAGGGUGCGUAGGUGGCGCGUUAAGUCCGUUGUGAAAGCCCUGGGCUCAACCCAGGAACUGCUUCGGAUACUGGCGCGCUUGAGGCUAGUAGGGGUCACUGGAACUGACGGUGGAGCGGUGAAAUGCGUAGAUAUCGAGAGGAACACCUGCGGCGAAGGCGGGUUGCUGGGCUGACACUGACGCUGAUGCGCGAAAGCUAGGGGAGCGAACGGG
rnacentral:rRNA from 1 species